rnacentral:sRNA from 1 species
AUGGGCGGGAAAAAGAAGGCUUUACACGACUACGCGGCGGAGUUCACCGACCUGGUGGUGAAGCACCUGAUUGAGCACAGUGACUCUGGGGACACGUCUGUGGUGGAGACCCUUUACUGCAGGGCCUGCGAGCUGCCCGUGCGCGUGCGGAGGGACCGCAUCCUGGAACACCUGUCCUCGGGCAGGCAGCACGGCCUGCGGACGCCCAUUCUCAUCUCAGCCGCCUCGGAUCUCGCUGCCACCAGCCUUACUGCACACCCGUGCCACCCGCCCUUGCCCCGUCAGCCUCAGCCUCAGCUCAUUCUCUCAGGCAGUCCCAGCAUUGGCACGGUACCUCCUCCCGCUGUGGGCCACACGUCUCUGCUCCCUGUCAACCCUACUGCCAUCAGCACCACCACCAGCGACUUGUCUGCCCAGGAGGAUGCAACACCAUCUGCCUCCACCGGCCACCUUUCAGUGUUUCCUGCUUUCCAAGUAAAGAUACCAGCAGUGCCCGCAGAGCAGACCAGCCAGAGAUUUUCUGAAGCCUCCCACAGGGUGCUCCCCGGAGGAGGCCCGAGAUGCUCUCGUGACUUUGGAGCCGGGGUGGCUGGCCACCUUGGCCUGGGCAUCUUUGGGAUGGGCUUCGGGAGCCCGGCACUGCUGCAGAGUGUGGUGGAUGAGAACAGCUGCUGCUUGCUGUACGUGGUGGAGGACCAGCUGUGUGAUGUGGAGCGAGCCUUCAGAGCUGAGCAUUUGGGCCAACACCAGAGUGGUUCGGGAACAGGAUGCAGACAUUGUCCUCAACGACCAGCGUGUCUCUGGAGUAGUUGUUUGCUGCCUGCCGGAGGCAGCUUCUGAAAUCGUGAGGGAUGCUCUCCGAGCAGGCACUUUGAUCCGGUUUUCCAGUUCUUGCACAAGCAAGUUUUUGUCAGCCACGCCCUGGGGAGGAUCCACUGGAUCACCGCCGUCACAGCCUGUUCCCGGUGGCCUCUCCGGCUUCCCUAAAGAGAGCAGGUGGGACUUUCUACAACGCUGCUAUGCACGACGCGGAUGCCGUAUGCAUGUUGCUGGGGGAAGCCACUCCGGACACUGUGUUUUCUCUGGGACAUGUCUUCUGCCCAGAUAUGGCCGCCUUAAAAGAUGCAGAUGCUGUUGUGAUCAGCAUGAAGUUUCCCUGUGAGGCUGUGGUCAGCGUGGACAUCAGCCAGCACUGCACAGACAGCUGCGACCAGGACGGUGUGUGGGUCCCAAGGCAUGCUGCAGAUGGAGAAUCAGAAUUCCUUGGGCAUCACCGGGCGCGGCAUGUCCCUGUCCCUUCGCUCCCAGACCCAGGCUAGCCGCUACCAGGACUCCUAUCGAGAGCUCUUCAGACACUUUGUCAGAACCCUUAAAGGGAAAUAACCUCCUGAAAUCACCAAAGAGCAGUUCCUCAGGGCCUCCCGGGUGACCGUGGCUGUGGAGCAGUCGUGGUGG